UACGUAGGGGGCAAGCGUUGUCCGGAUUUAUUGGGCGUAAAGAGCUCGUAGGCGGCUCAGUAAGUCGGGUGUGAAACCUCCAGGCCCAACCUGGAGACGCCACCCGAUACUGCUGUGGCUUGAGUCCGGUAGGGGAGCGUGGAAUUCCUGGUGUAGCGGUGAAAUGCGCAGAUAUCAGGAGGAACACCAGCGGCGAAGGCGGCGCUCUGGGCCGGAACUGACGCUGAGGAGCGAAAGCGUGGGUAGCAAACAGG
rnacentral:rRNA from 1 species